GAUGAACGCUAGCGGCAGGCCUAACACAUGCAAGUCGAGGGGCAUCGCGGUGCAGCAAUGCACUGGCGGCGACCGGCGUACGGGUGCGUAACGCGUAUGCAACCUGCCCCGCACCGGGGGAUAGCCCGCCGAAAGGCGGAUUAAUACCCCAUGGGUCCCGGGGGCCCGCAUGGGCAUCCGGGUAAAGCCUUGGCGGUGCGGGAUGGGCAUGCGUGCCAUUAGCUGGCUGGUGGGGUAACGGCCCACCAGGGCAACGAUGGCUAGGGGGUCUGAGAGGAUGGUCCCCCACACUGGUACUGAGACACGGACCAGACUCCUACGGGAGGCAGCAGUGAGGAAUAUUGGUCAAUGGGCGGAAGCCUGAACCAGCCAUGCCGCGUGCGGGAUGAAGGCCCUACGGGUUGUAAACCGCUUUUCCCCGGGAAGAAUAACCCCGAUGAGUCGGGGGAUGCCGGUACCGGGGAAUAAGGAUCGGCUAACUCCGUG
rnacentral:rRNA from 1 species